AUUUCAGUUAAAAUACUGAGUUGGUGAGAGUGUUCUCCCGUACGUGAGUUGAGUUUUAUUCUCAGAAAAAAUCUUCAUUCGUAUUGUCUAGGCCGAUGGCACAUCGGAAUCAAUCUGUGGUAUUUCAAUCCAAAUCAAGAAGAGGCCGAUUUUGAUCGGAGACACUAGGAGGUGGAGAACAAACCUAGUUCGUGGUCAGAGGUAACAAGUUGAGAGUGCGUGCCAAGUAAAUGGUUGGAAGUCACUUAACUUGUUUUUUGUAUUGACUUCUUGAAUAAUGGAUUAAUUGUUGACUAGUGCCCAUGGUUUUUCUCCUUUUGGGUUUUCCACGUAAAAUUUGGUCUCUUAUGGUUUUGUUGAUGUCAUUUCUAUUAGCACAUGGAAAUUCAAUUGGAUAUAAAAAUUACUGCAAAUUUUGGACAUUGAUUGAAGAAUUUUAAAUUGGGUCUAUUCACCCCAAUAGGCCACCCAUUACACAAUUUUAGGCUUAUCUCAUUUUCUGUAGGAGAAAUUGUCUCUUGUUAUUUCUUGAUGCCAUGUAUCAAGUAGGAUGGUAGGCAUUUUGGCUUCAAGACAUGAUAUAUUUUCUUCCCUGUAGAACACAAAUAUCCAUACGCGAACGAAGAAGCACACAAUUUUCAUGGAAGGACUUAGGAAGGCUGCCCUGAAUGCAAUCAGCCAAGUAAGUUGGACUCCACCUCAGGUAUUAUGUCUUCUAUUGCACCAAAUCAUGCUUCACUUGUAUGUGCCAAUACAAUGCCCCAAAUUGCCUUUUGUUUCCUUGCUUUUGUAUUUAUUAUAGAUGAGCUUUUCUGAGCAAUGAUUGCUUAGAAAACAUGUUAAUAUGUUAAUUAUACGUAGCUCAAAAUUGGUAUAUCAUUCCUUAUUUAACCAUGAUUUAGCAGAAACGUAAAUUGAAUCUUUUUAACCUCUUUAUUUAUUUUACAAACAUGUGGCUUAUAUAGUAAUCUUUCAUAAGUUUAUUGGUGCAAGAUUUUGUGUGAUUCCUGCAUCGAUUAUAACUGUUAAUCACACAGUUCUCAUCAUUCUUACAUACAUGUAGCUUGUCUUGAAUGAGAAAGGAUUUCCUCAAUAUAUCCAUCAAUUGAUAAACUUCCCCCCUUGGCUAGAGCACGAGGCUUGUCUACCAUACAGGCUGACAGGCAUGUGGUUGUAGUAGUGAGAGAAAUUUGGUGAGUGACCCACUGAUGAAGAUUGCAUGCUAGGACUUUCUGUCACCACAAAUUUGUUAUGCUUGGCACUUUAGGUACCCUAGUUUCAUUGAUGCAUUAAGGGAUUUGGAUGACUGCCUCGCUAUGGAACAGCCUUUUGCUGCAUUACCUGCUAUAGAGAGGGAGAAGAUUGAAGUGAAGCACAUCCAUCAUUGUUGAACGUUGAUGCUAGGAUAUUGUCUUGAAGUUGAUAUGGUUUUUGAAUAUGUGAUUUCUUUUGCUUGAUUCCUGCUUGUGUGACAAAUUGAGUUUUUGGUUGGCUUGUCUUAUAUUUAUUAUGCUCCCUAGGUUGAGCCAUGAAUGACCAGCCUAUAAAUCUUGGACUCAUAAGCUAAUUCAUAUCAGUAAAAGACACAUAUUACCAGGUACGACAGCUAUAUUACAAUUCCGUUGUUAUGUGUGAUCAUAAAACAAGUUAAUUUUAUCUGACUUACCAUGUUUCUUCCAUCAGUUUGUUUAGGCUGAGGUUGAGGGCAAAAGAUCACUUGGUUAACUCCUGAUGCUGUUGAAUACAAUAUCAUGCUUAUCUUUUUGGAGUUUUGUGAGGUUACCGUUUACUGUUUUUAUAUUUUCCUCAUUUCUGUUGUUUUGAACUUGAUGUUGAAGUCUAAUUGUGGCUUUUGGUGGAACAUAAUUGUCUGGUAGUACAGUCCAAGUCCCAACUUCUCAUGAAGUGAGAGCAUACUUAUAUUCUCUGAGUGUUCCCUUUUUGUACAGCUAAUCACCAAAAGCAAAGAUAGCCCAAUGAAAUUAGCAGAAAUUAAUCUUCUCAUUGCCUGACCUUCUAAGGGU
rnacentral:lncRNA from 1 species